GGGAAGAGCGACGCCCCCGGUGGGGUGCCUGGUCUUCAAAACCAGUGAGGUGCCAUUGAGGUGUCUGGUGGGUUCGACUCCUACCUCUUCCGCC
rnacentral:tRNA from 1 species